rnacentral:lncRNA from 1 species
UUUAUUUUAUAUUGUUACUUAAGUCGUGAAUUAUUUCAGACUUUGAAGCCAAUUAAAUCUACGGAUUUAAUUUAGGUAUUAGAAUGACGAACGAAUUAAAUCUAUGGAUUUAAUUUAGCAAUCUCAAUAAUAAUACAAAUUAGAUUUUUACUACUCCACCACCUGCCACCCCCCCCCUAAGUUCAAGAAAAUGGGAAUAACAAUAAGGUAUGGAGACAUGUGCUGCACACUCCCCUAUCCCCUCUUGAGCUUGCUGCACCUUUUCUUUUCCCACGCCUAUGCAGCAGGCUGCCAUACCCAAGUACACCUAAAUAUGUCAAUCAGCCACCCUAGAAUGUACCUCCUCCCAUGUAUACAAGCUCCCAGCCAAACCACCUCGUCAUUCAAAACAGCCAACAUUGUUGCAUUCUCUUCAUUCUUCAUUUGAGGACUGCACAAGGAGAAGUGAGCCUUUAAUUCAUCCUACCAAGUAUUCUCAAGGUAAGCUUGUCUUCAAUGCUCCACCUUCUUCCCUUAUUCCACCUGCAUUAAUGCAAGAACAACUUUAUUAUUUCAGUUCGAUCUGCUGCUUCAUUUAAUCCAACCACAACAGCCAACAAACACCAAAGCAAGCAUCAUUCAAGGUAUUUAUACUACCUCAGUUAUCCAAUCGAGUUCGCAUUCGUACCAACGAGCAUAAUCAUGUUUUACCACUACAUCAAACAGUCCAUGUUAUGUAUAGCAAUAGAAAGACUUGUGUGUAUACUGCCACUGCACUCUAGAACAACGAAUCAUGAGAACCCCACGCGUAACAACUAGAAACUGAAGUAGAAGAAAAAUGAAAGUAGAUAACUUAGCUUUAGGAAGAAGGGACGCGGCCUGUUCAGGCUGAUCGAGAGACGACGAGAAGAAGCGACUCGGUGCUUGGCGGUGGGUUCAGGCGAGAAGCUCGCCUUGUUGCUCCACGACCUGUUCAGUUGGGCCGAGAGACGAACGAGACGACGCGAUGAUGGAGCUCUCACCGGCUUCGGAACUCGGAGAAGAACUGGAAACGGCGAACACCCGACUGUUCGCCGGCCUCCCUACAGCAGCGGCGUUCGGUGCUUGGUAGCAGAAGUCGGCCUUGGGCGAGGCAGCGGCAGCCGACGACGGUGGUGGCUGUCGGAGCUCUGCAACAGCAGCCCGCGAUACCAGAACAGCAGCAGUCGGCGGCCAACUUCAGAACAGCAGCAGUCGGCGGCGGACUCCACGAACAGCAGCAGUCGGCGGCGCUUCCACAAACAGCAGCAAUCGGCGGUGGCCUCGUCGUGAGUCGCCGGAGCAGCAGGAACAACGGCGCUGUAGUGAAACGUUGAGGGAGGUGACUGACCGACGGUUCUUCGCCGGAGGAGAUUCGAGAGAGAUUGAGAGGUGAGUGUUUGGGUGGUUACCGAUGUAUGCGAGGGAGAGAGAGAUGGAUUUCCGGCGAUGACUCGCCGGGAAGAAGGACCCCGGAUGAUGGCUGGAUCGAUCGAACGAGAGAGAGAGAAGAGUGAGCAAAAUUUUGCUUUAAUUAAGAGAGAGAGAGAGUUUCCUUUCUUUAAUAAAUUUGAGGGAGCCGAGUGCUUAUUAAAAAAAAAAAGAGAAUGAAUGUUUGCCUUUAAUAAAGAUAAAAGAGAGUAUGAUUAUCAAUUACAA